CGUAGGGUGCGAGCGUUAAUCGGAAUUACUGGGCGUAAAGCGUGCGCAGGCGGUUUAGUAAGACAGGCGUGAAAUCCCCGGGCUCAACCUGGGAACUGCGCUUGUGACUGGCAAGCUAGAGUACGGCAGAGGGGGUGGAAUUCCACGUGUAGCAGUGAAAUGCGUAGAGAUGUGGAGGAACACCAAUGGCGAAGGCAGCCCCCUGGGUCGAUACUGACGCUCAUGCACGAAAGCGUGGGUAGCAAACAGGAUUAGAUACCCUGGUAGUCCACGCCCUAAACGAUGUCAACUAGGUGUUGGAUGGGUAAAACUAUUUAGUACCGGAGCUAACGCGUGAAGUUGACCGCCUGGGGAGUACGGCCGCAAGGUUA
rnacentral:rRNA from 1 species